rnacentral:rRNA from 1 species
GACAGAGGGUGCAAACGUUGUUCGGAAUUACUGGGCGUAAAGCGUGUGUAGGCGGUCCACUAAGUCGGAUGUGAAAGCCCUGGGCUCAACCCAGGAAGUGCACUCGAAACUGGCGGGCUAGAGUAUCGGAGAGGUUGGUGGAAUUCUCGGUGUAGAGGUGAAAUUCGUAGAUAUCGGGAGGAAUACCAGUGGCGAAGGCGGCGACCUGGGCCAAUACUGACGCUGAGGUGCGAAAGCGUGGGGAGCAAACAGG